rnacentral:rRNA from 1 species
CCCUUAGAUGUCCUGGGCCGCACGCGCGCUACACUGAACGGAUCAGCGCGUUUUCCCUUCCCGAGAGGGACGGGUAACCUGCUGAACCCCGUUCGUGGUAGGGAUCGGGGCUUGCAAUUAUUCCCCGUGAACCAGGAAUGCCCAGUAAGUGCAAGUCAUAAGCUUGCGUUGAUUACGUCCCUGCCCUUUGUACACACCGCCCGUCGCUACUACCGAUUGAACGUUUCAGUGAGGUACUCGGACUGAGCCUCAGAAGAUUCACGUCUUUUGUGCUGCUCGGGAAGAUUCCCAAACUUGAGCGUUUAGAGGAAGUAAAAGUCGUAACA